rnacentral:rRNA from 1 species
CAGUAGCCGCGGUAAUACGAGGGGGGCUAGCGUUGUUCGGAAUUACUGGGCGUAAAGCGCGCGUAGGCGGCCUUUUAAGUCAGAGGUGAAAGCCCGGGGCUCAACCCCGGAAUUGCCUUUGAAACUGGAAAGCUAGAAUCUUGGAGAGGUCAGUGGAAUUCCGAGUGUAGAGGUGAAAUUCGUAGAUAUUCGGAAGAACACCAGUGGCGAAGGCGACUGACUGGACAAGUAUUGACGCUGAGGUGCGAAAGCGUGGGGAGCAAACAGGAUUAGAUACCCGAGUAGUCCCUGUCUCUUAUAC